rnacentral:rRNA from 1 species
GAUGAACGCUGGCGGUCUGCUUAACACAUGCAAGUCGAACGAACUCUUCGGAGUGAGUGGCGGACGGGUGAGUAACGCGUGAGAAUCUGCCUGUGGCCGGGACAACCACUGGAAACGGUGGCUAAUACCGGAGUUGAGCCGAAAAGGUAAAAGAUUUAUUGCCCACAGAUGAGCUCGCGUCUGAUUAGCUAGUUGGUAAGGUAAAAGCGUUACCAAGGCGACGAUCAGUAGCUGGUCUGAGAGGAUGAGCAGCCACACUGGGACUGAGACACGGCCCAGACUCCUACGGGAGGCAGCAGUGGGAAUUUUUCCGCAAUGGGCGAAAGCCUGACGGAGCAAGACCGCGUGGGGAGAGGUUUUUGGAUCGUAAACCCUUUGUCAAGGAAGAAGCUCUGACGGUACUUGACGAA